rnacentral:pre_miRNA from 1 species
AGGCCGUGCUAUGUGACAAUAUGUAUUUAAAUUGUAUUUAUCAUAUUGCACAUCUCCCGGCCUAC